rnacentral:rRNA from 1 species
GACGAAGGAUUCAAGCGUUGUCCGGAUUUACUGGGUUUAAAGGGUGCGUAGGCGGAAAUAUAGGUCAGUGGUGAAAUCCCGCAGCUCAACUGCGGAACUGCCAUUGAAACUGCAUUUCUUGAAUACGGUCGAGGUAGAUGGAAUGUAACAUGUAGCGGUGGAAAUGCUUAGAUAUGUUACAGAACUCCGAUUGCGAAGGCAGUCUACUAAGCCGUUAUUGACGUGAGGCACGAAAGCGUGGGGAGCAAACAGG